GAAUAAGCAUCGGCUAACUCCGUGCCAGCAGCCGCGGUAAUACGGAGGAUGCGAGCGUUAUCCGGAUUUAUUGGGUUUAAAGGGUGCGUAGGCGGCCUGUUAAGUCAGCGGUGAAAUCUAGGAGCUUAACUCCUAAAUUGCCAUUGAUACUGGCGGGCUUGAGUGUAGAUGAGGUAGGCGGAAUGCGUGGUGUAGCGGUGGAAUGCAUAGAUAUCACGCAGAACUCCGAUUGCGAAGGCAGCUUACUAAGGUACAACUGACGCUGAAGCACGAAAGCGUGGGUAUCAAACAGGAUUAGAUACCCUGGUAGUCCACGCAGUAAACGAUGAUAACUGGGCGUAUGCGAUAUACAGUAUGCUCCUAAGCGAAAGCGUUAAGUUAUCCACCUGGGGAGUACGCCGGCAACGGUGAAACUCAAAGGAAUUGACGGGGGCCCGCACAAGCGGAGGAACAUGUGGUUUAAUUCGAUGAUACGCGAGGAACCUUACCCGGGAUUGAAAUGUAGAUGACCGCUCCUGAAAGGGAGUUUUCCUUCGGGACAUCUAUGUAGGUGCUGCAUGGUUGUCGUCAGCUCGUGCCGUGAGGUGUCGGCUUAAGUGCCAUAACGAGCGCAACCCCUGUCUACGGUUGCCAUCAGGUAAUGCUGGGAACUCCGUAGAGACUGCCGUCGUAAGGCGUGAGGAAGGUGGGGAUGACGUCAAAUCAGCACGGCCCUUACAUCCGGGGCGACACACGUGUUACAAUGGUAAGGACAAAGGGCAGCUACCUGGCGACAGGAUGCGAAUCUCUAAACCUUAUCACAGUUCGGAUCGGAGUCUGCAACUCGACUCCGUGAAGCUGGAUUCGCUAGUAAUCGCGCAUCAGCCAUGGCGCGGUGAAUACGUUCCCGGGCCUUGUACACACCGCCCGUCAAGCCAUGGGAGUCUGGAGUACCUAAAGUCCGUAACCGCGAGGGUCGGCCUAGGGUAAUACAGGUGACUGGGGCUAAGUCGUAACAAGGUAGCCGUACCGGAAGGUGCGGCUG
rnacentral:rRNA from 1 species